rnacentral:rRNA from 1 species
AUGCUCGCCGCUGCGUCCCCCGCCGCCAACGUCGCGAGUGUCCGCACCCAUGUCCAUGUGACACUGGACCUCCACGCCUCCAACUCCACCAAGCGGAGGAUGCUCAUCCGCGUGCUUCUCGGCAAGUACGAUCUGCUCUUCCACGUCAACACCGCCACUGCCGAGGCGGACCACACUGCGGACUGGGUUCGGGAGGACUAUAUUGUCUGCUCGUGGCUCUAUGGGUCCAUCUCAGACGAGAUACUCGACAUAAUCAUGGCGGAGGACCAAACAUCGCAAGAAGCUUGGACAUUCAUCACCAACCUUUUUCUUGAUAAUCAGAUGACCCGCACCGUUUUGAGGCAGAGUUCCGCGGCCUCGUCCAGGGCGAGCUCUCCAUCACCGCCUACUGCCACCGUCUGA